GUUGCUGCUGUUGUUGUUGUUGCUGACGUUGCUGCCGCUGCCGUUGAUAACGCAGCAAGUUCGUUAUUUUUGAAAAAAGAAAACAAACGACGCUGACAUCACGCGAUCUCGUGUUUAUCUCAAUCAGCUCAGCCCCGCCCCCUGCUCCAAUCCACGCAGGCGCACUUACUGCGCGGAUCCGAGGUGACGUCACGGCGCUGCCUCGCGAAGCGCGUUGCGUCACUGGCGGAGCGCGGCCGCCGUAAGCAACUGUGUUUGUUUGCAAACAAGCAUCUGCAGCGUAUAGCGCUAUAAGAUCUUUGAUCUGCAGUUCGUUGCAGUCCGAAUAAUGGUCUCGUAAACCCUUUUUACCUGUUGGUCAGCGAUAGAUUUACGGAGCAAUUUCUUCAGCCCAAUUGCAAACAAGCUCUUGCUACUCUUUUCACCAAGAUGCUGCCUCAAUCGCCGUUGUGCAUUGUGUGCCUACCUUCAAUAAUACAUCUCCAGCUGUAUUAAGAAACAAGGAACUACAGAUAUGGAAAAACACUGGAGUAACUCAGCAGGACAGGCAGCCUUUCUGGAGAGAAGGAAUGGGUGACGUUUCGGGUUGAGAUCCUUCAGACCGAUGUCAGGAGAGGGAGAUACAUAAAUAAGGGAAGUUCGACUACCUUUUGCACAGAAAAUCUGAUGAGAAGACUGAACAUCACAGGAGAAGAGACUAAGAUUCGAUUGCGUACCAUGACUAAAGAUAAAGAGAGCAGGAGUCAUUACAUUACGAGUAUGGACAUAUCUGGUUUGGAUGAGGAUAAUUUUAUACCAAUAUCUCAAGUGUUUACACAUGGAACUAUGCCUGCUGGUCGUCAAAAUAUAUCAGGACAUGAAGACUUGAAACAAUGGCCUUACCUGAAGGAUGUCAAAAUAUCUGAAGUAAGUUCUAGUGUUGAUCUACUUAUCGGAAUGAAUGUUUUGAAGGCAUUGGAAACUAUACAGAAUGUGAGGAGCCAAGGUGAUGUAUGCUACAAAGGUGACCGUAUGCUACAAAAACACGACUUGGAUGGGUUAUCUAUGGCUCCUUGAAAAGGAACAACGAAAACGAGAAUCAGAAGAACUAUCCUACCAUUGCUGUUAAUCAAAUAUCAACUGAUAAAUUAGAAAAGCCAGUGAUGAAGCAAUACAAUCAUGACUUCACUGAAAGUAUCAAUAAAGAAUCUGAAGAGAUGUCGAAUGAAGAGUUGAAGUUCAUGGAUAUUAUGAACUACUCAGUAAAGAUUGACGGACACUAUUGUCUGGACUUAACUUUCAAACAAGAAAGUGUUAAUCUGCCGAAUAAUCGUCGUAUGGCAGAGCAACGUACCCAGACUUUGAAACGCUAGUUUGGCGAGAAUACUAAAUUUCAUUAAGUAAUAAUCUCUUUGAAGAAUAAUAACUACGUGGAUGAUUGCUUAAAAUCCAUGUCUACUGAGCAGGAAGCAAUUUAACCAGUUAAACAUUUGACUUUCCUCUGCUAUAAGGGAGGAUUCACUUUCUAAGUGAAGAUCCACUUUCUAAGUGGAGUAGCGAUAAUUGUGAAAGCAUUCCACCAGAUGAUAGAGCCAAAGAAACCAGAGAGUUGGAUUUGGACAGAGCCAAUCUGCCAAUGGAAAGACCAUUGGGAGUUACUAAUGUUGCACAAUUGAAAUAUGUUAACACAAAAGAAAAUCCUGCAGAUGAAGUUUCCAGAGAACUGAUGGCGAACCGCUUCUUAAGCUAUAAGAGAUGGAUCAAUGAACUAAAGUCUCUCUGAAAGCCAAACAGAGAACGGCCAAAGCUUGAGCUGGGAUUUGAAAUCUCUGCUAAUGAUCCGGAAAUUAAAUCAAACCUAACGGUGAGCUUUAUUGCUAAAAAUCCUGUUAUUCUCUCAAAGGAUUUUCACACUUCAACAUUGUUGUUACAACACAUCCAUGAGUUGAUCGGUCGUUUCAUGCUAUCAAAGAUGUUUCAUGCUAUCAAAGCUUUGGAUUGUUAUGUUUUGGACUAUAUACUGGGUAUCAUGCCUGAUUUUAAGGGUUUGGUGCGCACGGUACGACUUUAAACUAAAACCAGUGUUUUAAUAAGAUUAACAAUCAAGUUAUGCUUGCUUCUAAAAGACGAAAGUGAAGAUGGAAGAGUCGAUGAAGAAUUCUGAUUGCGGAUAUAUAAUGCAUGCUAUUUUCCUCGUUAGUAUAGUGGUUAGUAUCCCCGGCUGUCACGCGGGAGACCAGGGUUCAAUUCCCUAAUUUUUUGCUUUUGAUAUAUGUUAAGCCUUCAUGGCUACUUUUUUGAUGUUUAUUAAUAAUUGCCUCAUUAUAUACUCAGAACAAUUAGCGACCGGUAUGUAAUGGCCAUUUGUCUUGUUUUGUGUGUCAUUAAUUAUAGCAUGUGCCUUUAAAUUUUAGACUGCCCGUUAUUAUGUGGGUGGGAUUUAUGACGUAUUCUGGGGCAUGUUCCCAAUGUUGGGCGCCUAGGUUUCUUGCGCAGAAGCUUAGUUUUUAGUUUAGUUUUGGACUUGCAUGAGGAAGGCAUACCUUUCACCAUGCGAAGUGUAACGGAGACACGAGGAGUUUUCUAACGUUUAAAGCGAUAUGCUGGAGUUUGACGAAGAUUAUAGUGUGCGAGUUGGAAGAUGGUUCGAUGUAUACAUUGUUUUUCAUCAACAAUAAAGAAUCUAUUAUUCAAAAGACUGUGUUAUGGAGAUUCAUCUGAAGAAGAAGCUCUGAAGGUCUCACGGAAAGCUCACAUGCGUAUUACGACAUUCUCCUUAAUCAUGUAGUCUACUUAGUGGCUAGAGGGAAUAAUCUCUUGAAUGAUAUAAAAAUCUGCCGCCACAUAAUCAGCUGCCACAAAAGGUAAAGUAAAUCCUCAUUCAAGAUUAAAUGAUAGUGUCCAUCAAUUAUAGACUUCCUUCUCUGUGGCAUCUCAUCUAUAAUUAUAGAUGUUCACUUGUGUUUUGAUAACUUAUUUUAUUUUUGAAAACAUUGCACAUCAGUUUUAUAUUUGUUUUAUAUUGAUUGUAAAUUACUUUAAUUUGUGUAAGCCUUUAAUCCUGUUAUAAUGACGAGCAGAUGUUAGAAUCAUCCCAGAAUUGAUUAGAAACAUAGAAAAUAGGUGCAGGAGGACGCCAUUCAGCCCUUCGAGCCAGCACCGUCAUUCAUUGUGAUCAUGGCUGAUCGUCCCCAAUCAAUAACCCGUGCCUGUCUUCUCCCCAUAUCCCUUGAUUCCACUAGCCCCUAGAGCUCCAUCUAACUCUCUCUUAAAUCCAUCCAAUGACUUGGCCUCCAUUGCCCUCUGUGGCAGGGAAUUCCACAAAUUCACAACUCUCUGGGUGAAAACGUUUUUUUCUCACCUCCUCCCCUUUAUUCUAAGACUGUGGCCUCUGGUUCUGGACUCGCCCAACAUUGGGAACAUUUUUCCUGCAUCUAGCUUGUCCAGUCCUUUUAUAAUUUUAUAUGUUCUAAUAGAUUCCCCCUCAUUCUUCUAAACUCCAGUAAAUACAAGCCUAAUCUGUUCAACCUUUCCUCAUAUGACAGUCCCACCAUCCCAGGGAUCAAUCUCGUGAACCUACUGCCUCAAUCACAAGGAUGUCCUUCCUCAAAUUCGGAGACCAAAACUGGACACAAUACUCCAGAUGUGGUCUCACCAGAGCCCUAUACAACUGCAGAAGAACCUCUUUACUCUGAUCCUGAAAUCCUCUUGUUAUGAAGGCCAACAUUCCAUUAGCUUUCUUCACUGCCUGCUGUACCUGCACGCCAACUUUCAGUGACUGGUGUACAAGGACGCCAGGUCUUGCUGCACCUCCCCCUUGCCUGACCUAACUCCAUUGAGAUAAUAAUCUGCCCCCUUAUUUUUGCUGCCAAAGUGGAUAAUC